UACGGAGGGUGCAAGCGUUGCUCGGAAUUACUGGGCGUAAAGCGCACGCAGGCGGUUUGAUAAGUCGGGUGUGAAAGCCCUGGGCUCAACCCAGGAACUGCACUCGAAACUGCCAGACUUGAGUUCGGGAGAGGGGGGUGGAAUUCCUGGUGUAGAGGUGAAAUUCGUUGAUAUCAGGAGGAACACCGGCGGCGAAAGCGGCCCCCUGGCCCGAUACUGACGCUCAUGUGCGAAAGCGUGGGGAGCAAACAGG
rnacentral:rRNA from 1 species